rnacentral:rRNA from 1 species
UACGUAGGAUGCAAGCGUUAUCCGGAAUGAUUGGGCGUAAAGCGUCUGCAGGUGGCAGUUCAAGUCUGCUGUCAAAGACCGGGGCUUAACUUCGGAAAGGCAGUGGAAACUGAACAGCUAGAGUAUGGUAGGGGCAGAGGGAAUUCCUGGUGUAGCGGUGAAAUGCGUAGAGAUCAGGAAGAACAUCGGUGGCGAAGGCGCUCUGCUGGACCAUAACUGACACUCAGGGACGAAAGCUAGGGGAGCGAAUGGG